rnacentral:rRNA from 1 species
ACGUAGGGUCCAAGCGUUAUCCGGAAUUACUGGGCGUAAAGAGUUGCGUAGGUGGCAUAGUAAGCGGGUAGUGAAAUCACCCCGCUCAACGGGGUUACCGCUAACUGAACUGCUAAGCUUGAGCACGAGAGAGGUAACUGGAACUGCUGGUGUAGGGGUGAAAUCCGUAGAUAUCAGCAAGAACACCGAUGGCGUAAGCAGGUUACUGGCUCGUUGCUGACACUAAGGCACGAAAGCGUGGGGAGCGAACGGGA